rnacentral:rRNA from 1 species
UACGUAGGGUGCAAGCGUUAAUCGGAAUUACUGGGCGUAAAGCGUGCGCAGGCGGUUAUGUAAGACAGAUGUGAAAUGCCCGGGCUUAACCUGGGAACUGCAUUUGUGACUGCAUGGCUAGAGUUUGGCAGAGGGGGGGUAGAAUUCCACGUGUAGCAGUGAAAUGCGUGAGAUAUGUGGAGGAACACCGAUGGCGAAGGCAGCCCCCCUGGGUCCGAAGACUGACGCUACCAUG